GGGGGCGGAAUCUGGCGGGUCGCUACAGAGCGUGUCAGCCGGCGCCUCCACCAUCCUGGACUCCAGCUCCAGUCUGGACACACCCGCGAAUGACAACAGCAGACAACCUGCAAGAGCGAGUAGCAAGAGCAAGGUGGCUCCAGCCCCGCCGGUGCUGCCGAGUGCUGGCGCGGUGAGCCCGGCCCUCAUGAGUGAUCACCUGUGUGGCGCCGGCGGCCGCUCGGGAGUGGCCUGGCCCAGUGCCACCAUCCCCGCGCGGGUCAAGAAGCUGAGCUGGGACGAGCGAGUCGCAACAACCACGGACGAGGAGAGCCGCGACGUGACAGAGGCCACCAACCCGACCCUGGCUGAACACAUGAACCUCACCGUCUACUUCUAGCUGAUCCACCGUCUCCUUCACCCAGCGAGGGGUCUAACGAGCGCCCAGUGACGAUCAACUACAUGACUUCCACCUCGUGUUGCUAUAACACAUCUACAGUAAUUUGUGAUAUAAGAAUCAAUAUUGUGCUUUCUCCUUGUCAAUUAUGAAUAGAAAGUUUAUUUAUUGUUCGAGGAACUCAAUCUCAAACAUAACAAUGUUGUAAUAUAAAUUGAAAAUCGUAUGAUGAUAGGAUACUUAGGAAGCAUAAGAAAUAACAUUGUCAUUAUGUGGUCAUCAUCAGCGAACCGUGAUCAGUAUCAGUGGAGUUUACCAGUGGGAGGCUCCUUUGCACCGGAUGCUGGCUAGAUUAUGGGUACCACAACGGCGCCUAUUUCUGCCGUGAUGCAGUAAUAUGUAUACAUUACUGUGUUUCGGUCUGAAGGGCGCCGUAGCUAGUGAAAUUAAUGGGCAAAUGAGACUUAACAUCUUAUGUCUCAAGGUGACGAGCGCAAUUGUAGUGCCACUCAUAUUUUUGGGUUUUUCUAUAAUCCUGAGCGGCACUGCAUUGUAAUGGGCAGGGCGUAUCACUUACCAACAGCUGAACGUCCUGCUCGUCUCGUCCCUUAUUUUCAUUUAAAAAAAAGUCGCCCCGAGACAGAUCUGGUUUACACAUACGUGUUUUUGUUGUAGAUAUUUAUAAAAUAAAACAUAAACAUUUUAAUUUGAUGUUUUUGAUAUUAAUAUUGACGGCUACAAGAAAUUAUUAAACAAGUUACCCCGGUCCUGUAGGUCAGUAGCCUUUGGAACGUGAUCAUAAGUUAGAAACUACUAUCUCUGAAGAAGAUAUUUCUUAAAAUAUACAAAUCCAUUGUCCUGAUGUUUGUUUCCAGUGAACUCCUAAACUAAUGAAUGAAUUUAAUGGGGAUUACUUCAUGGAGUGCAAUUUAGUCCAACUUGAGGGAAAGUAUAGUUUUUAUUUCGAUUUGAGACCCAUAAUUAUUUUUAUUUCCAAUAUUUGUUUUGUAUGGACAUAUUUCUAUGCGAGAAUUUAUUGACGCACGGUUUGACAGUUCUGCUGUAAAACAAUUACAUUAUAACAAUAGGGAGCGUUUUUUACGAAAUAAUCCUUGAUGUUUUGAAAUAUUAUUGACAAAUUCAUAAAAAAACAGUAUUUUAUUUAUUAUGUACAGAACAACGUCUGUCGGGUCAGCUAGUGAUCUGUAUGAUAUUGUAGCUAUUUCCGUGUUGAAGAGGGAGACUUGAGGUGGUUUUGUAUGGCGUUAUGAGUUGUGUCAUUCUCUCACUUGGUCCUAGUACUACUGAUGUACAAAAUGUUAUUGUGUUACUAAGAUUAAGUUUUACUUAUAUUAAAUAUUUUUAUUCUACAAUAACAAUGUAAUCAUGUACAUACCUAUAGAUCAGUAUUUAAUAUUAAGGUCUACAUUAAGAAUAAAUU